AACGAACGCUGGCGGCAUGCCUAACACAUGCAAGUCGAACGAAGCCUUCGGGCUUAGUGGCGCACGGGUGCGUAACGCGUGGGAAUCUGCCCUUGGGUUCGGAAUAACAGUUAGAAAUGACUGCUAAUACCGAAUGAUGUCUUCGGACCAAAGAUUUAUCGCCCAAGGAUGAGCCCGCGUCGGAUUAGCUAGUUGGUGAGGUAAAGGCUCACCAAGGCGACGAUCCGUAGCUGGUCUGAGAGGAUGAUCAGCCACACUGGGACUGAGACACAGCCCAGACUCCUACGGGAGGCAGCAGUGGGGAAUAUUGGACAAUGGGCGAAAGCCUGAUCCAGCAAUGCCGCGUGAGUGAUGAAGGCCUUAGGGUUGUAAAGCUCUUUUACCCGGGAUGAUAAUGACAGUACCGGGAGAAUAAGCCCCGGCUAACUCCGUGCCAGCAGCCGCGGUAAU
rnacentral:rRNA from 1 species